AUUUUCAUGCCUAUUUCUCUCACCAGCCACUGCCUCAACAGCUUUUUUCUUUAUCUUCUCUUUAAAUUUAGGGGAUGCUCAAGAAGCAAAACCAGGAUUUUUCAGAGUAAGGCAAAGAGGCUUUGAAUUUUCUUACAUUAAUGUUUAUUCCUAUUAUUUUUGCUUAUGGAUUUUCCAAUGAUUCUAACCUUUACUCUUUUAAACUAAUGAACUAAUUAAAACUUUGGUUUUGUUAUUUAUAUCCUGGUGUCCUUGCUUUCUAUACAUUUUGAUAACUUUCAUUUUUUACUUUAAAGUAGAGAAUAAAUACAUUCUGUAUUUGUCAACUUUUUUUAGAACUACAUUAAGCCUUUUUGGAAAUGGUCCAUCCCAGAACAAAUCAAAUCGUCAAGUAUUUAUUAAGUGCAAAUAACAAUGUGCUCACUCCUAAAAUGAGUAUUGUGGGGAGGUGGAAGUUAGAGAAGACGUGUUUCCUACCCUUAGGAAGCUUGCAAGCUAGAUAGAAUUAUAAAAGUAACCAAGAAGAAACAAUAUCAAGCAUUAUAGAACAGUAUUUGCUGAAGUCUGAGGUGGAGAUUUGAAACAAAACUGUAGAGUUUGCAGAAAUGAGAGGCUGGGGUUUGGAGUUGCCAGGUGAGAAGUGGGGUUUCAUUUGGGUAUUUAUGGAAAGCCUCCCUUUGAUAGAUGGAAAGGAGACAAAACACUUCAGACCACAGUAACAUAGUCAGGGUUAAGGAGCAAAAAUCCAUAAUCCCAAGGAUUAAUAUUGAUUUCUCUUGCUUUUUAGGGCCGCACCCAAGGUAUAUGGAGGUUCCCAGGCUAGGGGUCCAAUCAGAGCUGUUGCUGCUGGCCUAUGCCACAGCCACAGCAAUGCCAGAUCCGAGCCAUGUCUGUGACCUACACCACAGCUCAUGGCAACACCAGAUCCUUAACCUGCUGAGUGAGGCCAGGGAUCGAACCAGCAACCUCAAGGUUCCUAGUCGGAUUCAUUUCCUCUGAGCCACGAUGGGAACUCCAAUAUUUUUUUUUUAUUCAUAUGCUAUAUCCCAGCAUGUGGCACUUUACCAGGCAUAUGAUUGUUGCCCAGUUAAUGUUAUUAGUGGUUUGAUUGAUUGCAUGUAGAAUAUGUACCUGAGCUGAAUCAGGUUAAAAAAAAUCAUUCUUCUAAAUUCACCUCUUUUGUGUACUCCGAGUGGGUGGAAGAAGGGACAGACUCAGGUAGGUAUCAGGAGCCCAGUGAUUUGUGAGAGUGGGUUGAAAUGUUUUCUUUUCCUCAGUGUUUGUGGAGAGUAGGGAAGGUGAGGGCAAGAAAAUAUUCUAUCACUUUAGACAAAACACCUUAAGCUUCUAAGUGUGAGAAAUUAUUCUAAGUGAUAGGAAGAUGUGUAGCUUUACUUCCAGUUUGCUAACAUGGCCAUGUUGUGACAAGGUCCUAGAUACUGAGGCAGACUUUCGGGUGGCCUCACUUGAAAGCACCUUGGAGAUGUACAGUCCUUGUCACCAAGCCAUGAAAUCAAAUUUUGUUUGCAAACUGACUGGCUUAUACAUCUCUUUGAAAGUAAGCAUGUCGUAGCUGUUUAUUUCCAGCACAACAGCUUCAUCGGCCAUAACUAAUAAAUUCUUUACACUGAGACCAACUUUACUAAACACAGGCAUCGAUAGGAAGUGCUCCUGGAGCGAAGACAUUUCAAAGACAUUUUAAUACAGUGGCACCAUGUGGAGGGCAUUAAUCUUUCUCCUGAUUUCCUCUUAUUGUAACAAUGGAAAAGGCUUCUAAUGCGCGAACCUCGUUAAAUCAAUCAUCUUGGGAAUUUAGAUUCACAGUGUGAUAAAAGCAACAACUUUCUUUAUCUUAUGGCAAUUUUCCAUAUGUUUUGAAAGUUGGGAUCUAGGAAAAAUAAACUCUUUGAGAGAUUUAUGAUUCAGCUUCAAAUGUAUAUUUGAAUUAUUCACUUUAUUAACCAAAAGAAAUAGAAAGUCCUAGAAAGCUAAUAAAGGGUGUUUCAUUUUUAGAUAAUAUUUAUUGUUUACAUGACUGCCUAGGACAUUCCUUUUAUAUCUUUUAAGCUGUAACUACACUGACAGAAAAUAAUGGGAAAUGUAUUAAUUUGGAGCAAGGAGCUGCUUAUACUGUUCUUUAUUUACAAUUCUUUGCUAUUUUUGUUUAAGACUUUAACUGCUAUUAUCUGACAAAGCAGUUUUGUAGAGAUUAAAAAGUGCAAGGAAAACGCUUAAGACAAAAUGUCUUAAGAGGUACAGAUUUUGCCUAGACUUAACUUCUUCCUGUUUGUAUAUAGAAAAGAACACUGAAAAGGAGCACCAACUUCCAGAAUAUUUUAAAUUUGGGCCUAAAUGCACAUGGGUUAUGCCUACACAACUACAACAUUAGUACUGGCAGGUGGGAGUGACACAUUUGUAGGAGGCACUGUUUUAAUGAUAGAAUGAGAUUGGCCAGAAGAAAUGCACAAUUAAAGCAUUUGCUUUAAAUCUCUGCUGCUAUAUUAGGAAAAGAAAUUGAUUCAAAUGUUAACUUUGAUUUGCUUUUAUUAAAUGCCAUCCAUUAUUUACCUGGCUGCUAGAGUGUAGCUGGGCAUUUCACAGCAAGAUGGAUAAUAUGGGAAGGUUCUAAGGGUUCACAUAAGCACAUAGGCGUGGUUGUUUGCAGCCCUGUAGCUAAACCAUCUUGGAAUUAAUAUGGUCAAACCUUAUUUAUAUUGCUAGAUCUCUCCUGAGGUCUCCUCUUAAACUAUGGGUAUUGGUUCCGGGAAUACCUAGAUUUAGUCUAUAGACCAAGUGGGGAACUCAUGCUCUGAACUCAAGAAUUCCAAAAAUCAAUAUCAUAUUGAACCAGUUUUCUCACUGCUCUCCCAUUGUCCCUGGUUUGGUAUUUUUGGAAGUUAUAUUAACUCCUUCAGAGACAUCGAUGCCAAAUCCGUAUGAGACAAGUGUUUUCUAAUUAUAUCAUAUUAUGUUUUCUAGCUCUUUUCCAGUUUGAAUUACGCUUAUUACAUUGCACUCAGGUGUUAAAAACAGACAAAAGCGUCACCGAAACAAAAGAACUAUAUUAUUUAAAAUUAAUUCAUACUUAGUAUUAGGAAAUUUUAAAUAGCAAGCAAUUGUGUUUCAAAACUUAUAUGUGUAUGUAUAUAUACAUGUACUAUAAACAUUUUUCAGAAGUGAAAUUAUAUUCUGUAGUCUCAGAGGAGGGUAGAGCCAUUUAAAAAACAAUACUUGUGUUAUUUCUGAUCCUGAGGGAUCACUGACUCUAACCUUUGAACUUUUGUUAAACACCAGUUUUCUUCAGAAAAACAGAGUUUAAUUAAACAGUAUAGUCUUGUAGGAGAAGUACAACAUUGUAAGAAUUUUUACAUGGCUGAAAGCUUACAUGACACCUAGGUAAACUUACACUAUCUACUAAUUGACAGUGUAGAUUUCCAGGGCUCAGAGAAAACUGACAGCUGUGGGAAUGAAGUAAGCCAUCAAGAUAAGUGGUUAUCUAGGUCUAACUGAGCAGUGGUCCUUUCCCAAAUGCACUCAUCUUGUAAAAGUGGUGGUAUCAUUUGUGUUUCUGAAUAAGAAUACCAUUUUCUGUUUCUUUCUCCUCUUUGCCCUUCUCUGUCUCUCACCACCUCCUCCAUCUUCAUGCUUGUCUGUCUUCCACAAGGUUUGAUCCUGGUAGUCUACCCCCCAGUAGGCUAUUCCAUGGCCUUUGCUUGCCAACAACCCUUUAACAAAAUUUCCCCCUGUGAUGAACCGUCUCCCGGUUACUUAAUGGAGGUGGCUCAGAAACCUGUGUUUUUUGCUAUAGUUCUCUGGGGGAGCUGGAGUGAGCAGGUCUUUAGUCUCUAUUUACUUGGCCUUUCCAUAAAUUUUGAGGUUGAAAAUGUGAACUGGCACUUACCUGGAUACUUUCAGGAAACUCUGAAAUAGAAGCUUUAGUUCUAUUAGAAAAGUUUUGGGAGAAGAUCUGAUAAAUGAGAAGAUAGGAUAAUCAUGCUUGGAUAAUAAUGGGGUUGGAGAAAUGAAAGGCAGUAGGACCCUCAGUAGCUAUAGGCUUGACUUCUUUUCUGAGCAGUGCAUAGAGCAGCCACAAAGCAAGACCUUCACUGGGUGGAAGGAAAGUACUCUUACAAUUCGAUCAGAGGAGUGUGAGUAAAUUAGGAGCUAGCCAGAAGUGGAGAGAAGAAGUAGGUGCUUUGGUAAAAGGCUUGGAGACAAAUACCACUUUAUAGUAUUGAUAACUACAUUUUAUUAUACUAUGAAUUAUGUAGUCUCUGUUAUUAGACUAUAUAAUAAUAAUAGCAUAUUAUAUAUUAUAUACAACUCAUUUUUAUAAAAUUAAGUAUUUUGUUAAAAAGCAUUAUGAUAAAAUACAAUAUAGACAAAAUGUUUGUAUUAUUAUUGCAUUCUUACACUUCUCCACUGCUGCCAGAUAUGCUCAGAAAACUUUCAUAUAGAAUAUACUUGCUCCAUGCAUGUGGUUCUUAUUUAAAAUAGGAUAAGAAUGAGGUGUGUAAGAGUGUGUGCCAAUCUAUAACAAUGAAGUUCUGAACUUGUUUUAAAAGAAAAGCAUGAUUUAUUAACGUGGUGUUAUUUCCACUCUUCCUCUCUUCUGUGAGAGCAUAGGCCUCAGCUUGGUCAAUCCUCCAUUCUACCUGUGUCAUCACAUGGUGUUGCUGUGGACCACAGCUCAGCUCCAUCUAGGCACAGGUGUGUCUUCACUACCAUCCUGCUCUAUUUGCUCAGCCAUCCUGGUAUAUGCCUUCUGCUUCCUGCUGCUGAUGCUUUUCCUAGUGAUUGAUGCUGGCUUUCCUUGAUGUACACCUUUCCUGAUGGGUACUUAAAACAUUUUUCAGGAUCCUUGUGAGCUCAAUUUGAUAUCAGUAACCCUUUUUACUCUUUGAAUAUUUAUACCCUUUUCUUUAAUAAGUUUUCCCAUCUAUUUCAAAUAAAACCAAUUUAGCUAUCAGAUCUCCAGAUGGGGUCUUAGGUUUGGAGACAACUCUCCAUAUUUGCAAGGAUCCUUUCAGUGGUCUCUAGUGUUAGAGCUACAGAUGGAGAUUUUAAACUAAGAGAAUUUCCAAACUUAGCUCUUAAGAUACUGGUACUUGCCCCUGGAUGUUAAGAUCUCAAGGACUUUAACAUUGUUGAAUGACUUUGGACUGACUGAUAGAAUAGAACGUCUAUUGCAAAUGAGGUGUGAAGGGUUGAGCACCUUUCUGGAGACUUGUAGAAGCUUUGGGAAGAACACGGAAGGAAACAUGAUAA
rnacentral:lncRNA from 1 species